rnacentral:lncRNA from 1 species
UUCCCUGAAGGAUCGACUUUUCAAGUGCAUAACACACUAUAUGUUGAACCCAGUAAGAGAAAAAAAUAUUAAAUUCUUUCACUUUUUAUGCAUCGCUAUAGUCACAAAAUAAAUUCUUUCCCAUUUUAUGCAUAACUAUAUAUAAUCACAACUCACAACACUUCUAUGUCUCUAUCAUAUGUCAGAGUGCGAUAAAUAUAUGCAUUCUGCUGUUUCACAUCAAUUAUUUCCUAGAUUGACGUUUUCAUUUUGAGUAGUUGUUGAAUUUUUGUAGACAAUAUAUUGAAUGGGUGAAGAAAAAUCAAUAAUCACGUGGAUUACGUGUAUAAUAGAGAACUAUUGAAAACGCAAUGAACUGUACUUUGAAGAUAUUUAUUGAGAAAAAAUGAACAUUAUCAUUGGCAAACUUAAACAAAGUCUAAUUCCAGUGAUAAUCAGUAUAAAGAGAACCGUCAACUAUUCUUGAUUUGCAUAAAACUAAAAGUGCUACGAUGUCUUCUGAAAAAUAACAUAAGAAAUCCACUCAUUUUUUUGUGUGGUUUGCCUAAUUGAAAGAAAAACUCCCAUGGUCUCUUCGAGAUAUUUGAUUUAAAGAAGAAGAAGGAAAAACUCCUAAGAACAUUGAAGAUUGAUUUUCAUCAAUAGCCAUGAACAAAAUUUUUUUAAUUUAUAUCAAGUAAGCAAGCUAGCUCAACUGCGGGGCCUCGAGGGUCUUCUCUAGUGGCUUUAAUUCUACAUCUUAGAACACCUCAUAGGGAUUGAUUCUCAUGCUCAACUGAUCUGCUAUGACCCUUCUUUUGCAUUGGAAACUUUAGUGCAAAAUGGUGAAUAAACCACCAAAUUGAAUAUCAGAAAAAUUAUAUUGUACAUCUAAGAAACACAUAAUGAUGAAUAAAGUUCCUGAAACGUAUUCCUCAAAUUGUUUAUCUCAAACUGACAAAUAUGCUUCAUAGAGGAUAAAUUAUAACUAAGAAGCAGUGAUAGAAAAAGGUUCAUCGAGGCUUGGUGAAAUUUUUAUAUUUUUUUACGUCCUCUGAAUUAGAAUCAAAGUAAAUGGAGAUGUAUUCACCAAUCAUAUAAAUUUCACCAUUCGAAAGAGUUUUCUAUCAUAGCCUAUAAAAAAGGAUACAAAGGAACAACAAUAAAAUCUUCAUAACACAUUUUCUGUUAAACAGUCCAACCAUAGAGAAUCCAACUUUCAACGGCAGUAAUAUUGCAGCAAUAUAGAAGGUACACUAACUUCCUCAAUUAAUUCAAUCAUAGAUAUAGCGAUAAUACCAAGUGAAGAGGAAUAAAGCUUGAAUGAAAAUUAAUUAAAAGAAGAUAUUAAUUAAAUAACAGAAAAUAUAAUAAUUAGAAGUUUACGAUGAAAGUUAUUUUUACCAAAUAAUUCAGUCUCGUUCACAUCAACCUUAUUUAUCAAUUGAUCAUAUGGUCGCAGAUCAAAGACAUUCAUUGUGAAAAGUGAAUCAGUUUUUUCAGCCAUUGUUGUCCGUGGAGAAAAGGUUAGCCUCAAGUUAUAUUUUGUGGUGUUGAACCUCUCCUUAUUUUGGCAAAGGACAAAGUUCGCCAUAAGAUAUAAUCCAAGCUAAUUAAUUUGUGUUCUGAAAAGAUGCAGCACUAACUUGCCAAUAGAAGCAUGUAUCUGAUCCACAACAAAGAAUUCACAUUACAUACAUACAUAUAGAAAUUAAAAAAUUAUGCGAACAACAGAGCAAAAAAUUCAGAUUUGUAAAUUAAAAAACAGAAAAGCAAAACACGAUACAUAUUGUAGUAUAUCACUGAGAAACAUAUUUGAGGAUAAAUAUGUUUGGUGCACAAAUGCUUCAAUCAGGUUUUUGCUACUGAUUAUCCCAUGAAUACACACAUAUGCAAAUUUAAAAACAAAGUUAGCAAAAAGAAUUAUAAGAUAAUAAUAGAUUUUUAAUACCUUUUCAUCUUGUAGAACCAAUUCAAUCGAGAAAGUAGUGUCGGAAUUGUAACGAUCUUGUAUUUCCCACAAACGAACAAUCCGAAUUUUGAACUUGCUUGAUUAAAUCACCGUGAAUAGCCAUAUUUUGCAAAAAUCGUAUGUUGAUAGCAGUAGGAAGAUUAGAAUUAGGAACCACAUAUGAGUCCGAGAAAUACAAGUCAGGCAUCGCCAGUUUGGAAAAGUUCCUUUUCAAUCGUGCGCAUGUUUAUAAGUUUCAAUAGUGUUUUGAGGUUUUGCAGAGGAAAGUGGGUUCUACAUUUAGGGAAAAGUGGUUUAUAAAUCAGGUUUUUUUUUUAAAGUUAA